GAUAACCCAGUGAGAUAGUCCUUGUGAAAGGGUUCAGAGAACUUUAAACACUCCACAGAAUGAGGAGCAGUUACAAUUAGAUUCAACAAUGAAACGGAUCCUUUCUUGUUGCUGAAAGAAUUCACAAAGAAGCUGGCUCCCCCCAUGGCCCACACCUUCCUGCCCCAGCUGUUGGCGUGAGAGGCUGAGGUCUACAGCACCUGCAGCUCCCAGUGAGAAGAAACCCAAGAGCCAUGGAGCUGCUGCAUCUUGGGAUUCCCUCCAGGCUGCUUGACAUGGGAGACAAGGCAUAUCUUCACAGUUGAAGCCACUUUAUAAUCUACUGCUCCACUGGCAAGGGAACCAGGGUUAAAGUAACACUGGUAAUAUCUGCCAUUGAAAGGAACAUUACAGUUCAUGCAGCACUUUAUAUGCACGGAUGUUACUCGAUCUUCACAAAAGACAAGAGGGAAGCUCCUGGAUGGAAGGAAGGAAAGAUGACAAAGUGUAAAGCAAGGAUUGGCAGUCUUCCCGAAGCACGAGGCCAACUGGCUUCCCAAGCGGGCAGGCACGUGUGGAUCCAGCCCGGAAGAGACGGGUCAUGGGGAUUGGACCAGAGAGAGGAGUGUCGGGAGCAGGGCAGGCUCCGUCUG